rnacentral:ncRNA from 1 species
AAACUCUGGAGAACUCUUAAAUGAGUGCCGAAGGUGCAAGGCCUACCCGCUGUGCGCGGGGAAGCUGAAUCUCUCAGGCAAACGGACAGGGU